rnacentral:rRNA from 1 species
GACGAACGCUGGCGGCGUGCUUAACACAUGCAAGUCGAACGAAGUGGCGAAAGGGUGAGUAAUACGUGGGUAACCUGCCCUCCUUCUUGGGAUAAGCCUGGGAAACGGGGUCUAAUACCGAAUAAAGGGGGAUGGGCUCGCGGGCUAUCAGCUUGUUGGUGGGGUGAUGGCCUACCAAGGCGGUGACGGGUAGCCGGCAUGUGAGGGCGACCGGCCACAUUGAGACUGCGAUACGGCCCAGGCUCCUACGGGAGGCAGCAGUGGGGGAUAUUGCACAAUGGACGAAAGCCUGAUGCAGCGACGCCGCGUGGGGUAUGAAGGCUUCCGGGUUGUAAACCUCUUUCGCUUUCGAACGGGUAGGUGGAGAAGAAGCGCCGGCUAACUCCGUGCCAGCAGCCGCGGUAAUAC